ensembl:lncRNA
AAACGCAACUUCACGGAGUCCGAGCUCGCGAUUUUGCUCCACGAGGUAGAAAUGCGCAAGCAUAUGUUAUUUGGUACCCUGUCAACAGGGAUAAAUGCUAAACAAAAGAGAAAUGAGUGGGAGCGUGUUUGCGAGGCCGUCAAUGCAGUGGGGUUUCAGCAGCGCACACACUCUGAAAUUAAAAAAAAGUGGUCAGACCUCAAGGUGGAGGUGAAGCAGAGGGUUUCUGCCCACCGCCGAAGCGUGACCGAAACAGGAGGGGGGACGGGAGUGGGGGAACUCUCCCCCUUCGAUUUGAGAGUGGCCGCUUUGAUCGGUGACACAGCUCUCACCGGAGUGGUGGGAGCCCAUGAAGGGGACACCGAUCAUCCCCAAGACAAGCAAGGAGAGGGCACGGAUUGCUCCGUCGGCCCCGGCGUCUCCUCCGUCGGCCCCGGCGUCUCCUCCGUCGGCCCCGGCGUCUCCAGCGCCCUUCGGAUUUGACCAUUUGCGAUGUCCUCUAACAACGCUAACGCAGCCAUUUUUAAAACAAUUUUCUUCAUCCAUUGCGCAUGCUUUUAUAGCCACCCAUAUAAUUGCAGGGUGUGUUAAUUGUUCAUUAGUGUGUCUCUGAUGUGCAAAUCACUCUGAGUCAUUGUUUUCACCUUUUUUCCCAGUUUCCCAG